rnacentral:rRNA from 1 species
UACAUUAGAUACCCCGGUAGUCCUAGGCGUAAAUGAUGCGAGUUAAGUNUGGGGGCAUCUACGAGAUGGCCCUGUGCUGUAGGGUAGCCGUUAAACUCGCUGCCUGGGGAGUACGGUCGCAAGGCUGAAACUUAAGGAAUUGCGGGGAGCACCACAAGAGGUGGAGGCUGCGGUUCAAUUGGACUCAACGCCGGAAAACUCAUCGGGAGCGACAGCAGUAUGAUUGCCAGGUUGAUGACCUUGCUUGACAAGCUG